AAGCCUUGGUCCUCUUUACACGAAAAAAUCUUUCGCCUUUUAUUAAAGAUUUCCGUGGAGGAGAACAACACAAUGGGCCUAAGGGUAUUUUUUGUCGCCCGUCGAUUUUCCUGGCGGGU